AGAGAGUACAUCAAUAUGGGAGUAGACUGGACUCUCUGGCUGAUGUAUCACAUGGCCCAUCAGUGGGAAGGGGACCAAUUACGUCAACCCCAAGGACACUCCAUGCCUUGCCAACAUCAAUGGGAUGAAGGACAGGUGCCACAGUCUUCAUCACCUCAUGACGCUGACAGCGGGGACAUUCAUCAAACUUUAAAGCAGUCAAGUAAAGUUCCAUCAAGGUCUACUCAUGAGCAUGACAAAGCAAAAAAACAAUUACUCUGUAUAUUUGUUGCAAUAUAAGGAUUAAAAGACUGUCAUAAAAAUAUUUUAAAUAAAUCCAUCUCAAUUCAGUUUCAUAACUCACCUUUCAAAAAGUCCCAAAACUCACCCAUUUGUUCACAUCCUCUCGCAAGGUUGCCCUGUGGUAGGAUGCCAUGAUCUCAUCCAAUGUCCUGCGCCUCCCUGGAUGACCUCCAGUGCCCAGGUUGUCGUGGCACUCCACAAGGACAUCAAGAGACCGCUCGUUGGUGCACACAACCAACCUCGUAUGGUUUUGGUGCCGAUAAUACAGCUCCUCAUCUGCCCUACUUCAAUUAUGAAUGUGUGUGUAGGUAACAUUAUGACAACAAGUAGCUUCAGGAAAUCUAGUGAAAUCGACUUAAACGUGUGUCUGAAAGCAGCUAGUGUGUGAGCAUUUGAUUACAUUGUAAAAUUUGUCAAUUUAUGGUUAUGGGUAAUUGUUCAAUGGAAAGUGUAGGGUUAUAAUCAAUACUCAGCAUGUAAUCAAUUAUUAAACAGCUUUUAAUGUUAUUCAGGCCUAAAAGUGAAUAGCUACAAAUAUAGGUCAAAUACAAGCAAAUAUUUUGGGCAGUACUUGGAAGGUAAAAAAGCAAAGGAAUAGUGCUAAUACAGAGCAUUACAUAUAAACUGUCUCAAAUGCGUUUGACACUCUGUGACUUACCCCAGAGGGUAGGUCUUUGAGACCUUCCUUAUAUAGCCCUUCCUGCCUUCUGGGUUGAAGGCGGUUAGGCUGUGGUAUCUGUUUAGCUUCAGGUAAUGAUUCACUUCAGUGUACAACGCUUCCAUUUCUGAGAAAAUAAAUGCCAUAAACAAAGACAAAGACAGUUUUCAGAAUUAAGGCAUUAAACCGCAGAGACACUGAGUUAUCAGUCCU